rnacentral:rRNA from 1 species
GAUGAACGCUGGCGGCGUGCUUAACACAUGCAAGUCGAACGGUGACGGCGGAGCUUGCUCUGCUGGAUCAGUGGCGAACGGGUGAGUAACCCGUGAGCAAUCUGCCCCUGACUCUGGGAUAAGCGCUGGAAACGGCGUCUAAUACUGGAUACGAGCUGCGGCGGCAUCUUCAGCAGCUGGUAAGAAUUUCGGUCAGGGAUGGGCUCGCGGCCUAUCAGCUUGUUGGUGAGGUAAUGGCUAACCAAGGCGUCGACGGGUAGCCGGCCUGGGAGGGUGACCGGCCACACUGGGACUGAGACACGGCCCAGACUCCUACGGGAGGCAGCAGUGGGGAAUAGUGCACAAGGGGCGAAGGCCUGAUGCAGCAACGCCGCGUGAGGGACGACGGCCUUCGGGUUGUAAACCUCUUUUAGCAGGGAAGAAGCGAAAGUGACGGUACCUGCAGAAAAAGCGCCGGCUAACUACGUG